AUGCCGCCGAAGGCCGCGAGGCGGCGCAGGAGGGGGGAUCAGGACACGGACACGGAAGCCAGGAAGAAGAAGAAGAAGACCAAGAUAAGCCUAGCAGAGGAUCGAAGAUUGAUGUUCGCGGCCUUCGAGAGUGAAAAAACCCAACCCCAACCAAAAUUAGAUCGUGCGUACGACGACGACGCGGCCGAGUCCUCGUCGGAGGAAUCCGCCUAUCCACCCAGCCCUCUGCUCCACAGGCCCUAUAUCCCCGACGAACUAGCUGACAGGCCGGACAUACGUGCCGCCUUCAAGCACGCCGAAGCCGAAUACCGAGCAGAUAAAUCUUGUCGGUUUGUCUUCAUCCUGAAUCGCCACUCUUCUCUUUCGUGCCUGUCCAAGGACCGAAGCCUUCUUCAUAUCCGUGAGCCUGCAAAGGAUGCCGUGCUUCUUGCCGCCGACUCUAUCGUCAGCCUCUCGUCCUAUCUCGAUGAUGAGCCGUUGAAUAGGUGUUCUGGCUUGUGGAUUCAACGGGAUGACAGGAAGAAUACAGCCGUGGUUUUGACGUCCGCGCAUCUCAUUCGCGUAAAGGAAUACGACGAGUGGAAUAAUGAGUGGACGGGUGAAUAUCAUCGCGAGGCCGAGGUCAUUGUUCACUUGCUGGACGACACAACUGCAGUCGCCAGUCUCCUCUACCUGCAGGAGCACUACGAAUUUGCUCUUUAUGAGGUUCUGGUGGACAAACCGGUUCAACUAUCCACUUUUAAUGACAAUGUGCACUCUGGUCAAGACGUUUUCCGACUUGGAAGAGAUGGAAGUCUUGAUCUAAGGAUAACCCAUGGUAGGGUGGAAUACAAAGUUCCAAUCCGUCAUGAGAGAUGUCACUACAUGUAUUUUUCUAAUGAUGAACAUCAUUUCCGUGACGAUGGAGGCCCUGUCAUUGACUUAGAAGGCAAGGUUGUGGGAAUGGUUAACAAUCAAAUCAAUGAGACCUUUUUACCUUCUUCUAUAUUGCACAAGUGCUUGGAUUCGUGGAGAAAGUUGAAGUGCAUCCCUCGUGCCCACCUUGGAAUUACAUUUGCUUCCAUCAAGCUUCUAGAUCCUAUCUGUAUUGAGAGGAUGAGGCGUAAGCAUAACAUUGCAUCUGGUCUUAUUGUUGAACAGGUGUCAAAACAAUCGAAUGCUGAGAAACUUGGAAUCCGCAAGGAUGAUAUUAUUGAACGUUUCAAUGGAGAGUAUAUUUCUAAUACAAUUGAGUUGGAAAAGAUGUUGUUGGAUAUAGGCAGGGACCAAUUUGUUCAAGCAAAAGUCUUAAAUGCCGAAACAGAUGUUCGGAUUCAAAUAUUCCGUGCCACGAAACUUCGCCGAAGAGUUAGAAACUUGACUGUAAUUGUAUCGGAUUGUGGAGAGAAUAUCAUAGAAGGCACUUACCCUAUCACCGAUGGCCUUUGA
rnacentral:rRNA from 1 species